UCGGGUUACCGAAUUCAGACAAACUCCGAAUGCCAAUUAAUUUAACUUGGGAGUCAGAACAUGGGUGAUAAGGUCCGUGUUCGAAAGGGAAACAGCCCAGACCACCAGCUAAGGUCCCAAAAUAUAUGUUAAGUGGAAAAGGAUGUGGCGUUGCCCAGACAACUAGGAUGUUGGCUUAGAAGCAGCCAUCAUUUAAAGAGUGCGUAAUAGCUCACUAGUCGAGUGACACUGCGCCGAAAAUGUACCGGGGCUAAACAUAUUACCGAAGCUGUGGAUUGUCCUUUGGACAAUGGUAGGAGAGCGUUCUAAGGGCGUUGAAGCAUGAUCGUAAGGACAUGUGGAGCGCUUAGAAGUGAGAAUGCCGGUGUGAGUAGCGAAAGACGGGUGAGAAUCCCGUCCACCGAUUGACUAAGGUUUCCAGAGGAAGGCUCGUCCGCUCUGGGUUAGUCGGGUCCUAAGCUGAGGCCGACAGGCGUAGGCGAUGGAUAACAGGUUGAUAUUCCUGUACCACCUAUAAUCGUUUUAAUCGAUGGGGGGACGCAGUAGGAUAGGCGAAGCGUGCGAUUGGAUUGCACGUCUAAGCAGUAAGGCUGAGUAUUAGGCAAAUCCGGUACUCGUUAAGGCUGAGCUGUGAUGGGGAGAAGACAUUGAGUCUUCGAGUCGUUGAUUUCACACUGCCGAGAAAAGCCUCUAGAUAGAAAAUAGGUGCCCGUACCGCAAACCGACACAGGUAGUCAAGAUGAGAAUUCUAAGGUGAGCGAGCGAACUCUCGUUAAGGAACUCGGCAAAAUGACCCCGUAACUUCGGGAGAAGGGGUGCUCUUUAGGGUUAACGCCCAGAAGAGCCGCAGUGAAUAGGCCCAAGCGACUGUUUAUCAAAAACACAGGUCUCUGCUAAACCGUAAGGUGAUGUAUAGGGGCUGACGCCUGCCCGGUGCUGGAAGGUUAAGAGGAGUGGUUAGCUUCUGCGAAGCUACGAAUCGAAGCCCCAGUAAACGGCGGCCGUAACUAUAACGGUCCUAAGGUAGCGAAAUUCCUUGUCGGGUAAGUUCCGACCCGCACGAAAGGCGUAACGAUUUGGGCACUGUCUCAACGAGAGACUCGGUGAAAUCAUAGUACCUGUGAAGAUGCAGGUUACCCGCGACAGGACGGAAAGACCCCGUGGAGCUUUACUGUAGCCUGAUAUUGAAAUUCGGCACAGCUUGUACAGGAUAGGUAGGAGCCUUUGAAACGUGAGCGCUAGCUUACGUGGAGGCGCUGGUGGGAUACUACCCUAGCUGUGUUGGCUUUCUAACCCGCACCACUUAUCGUGGUGGGAGACAGUGUCAGGCGGGCAGUUUGACUGGGGCGGUCGCCUCCUAAAAGGUAACGGAGGCGCUCAAAGGUUCCCUCAGAAUGGUUGGAAAUCAUUCAUAGAGUGUAAAGGCAUAAGGGAGCUUGACUGCGAGACCUACAAGUCGAGCAGGGUCGAAAGACGGACUUAGUGAUCCGGUGGUUCCGCAUGGAAGGGCCAUCGCUCAACGGAUAAAAGCUACCCCGGGGAUAACAGGCUUAUCUCCCCCAAGAGUUCACAUCGACGGGGAGGUUUGGCACCUCGAUGUCGGCUCAUCGCAUCCUGGGGCUGUAGUCGGUCCCAAGGGUUGGGCUGUUCGCCCAUUAAAGCGGUACGCGAGCUGGGUUCAGAACGUCGUGAGACAGUUCGGUCCCUAUCCGUCGUGGGCGUAGGAAAUUUGAGAGGAGCUGUCCUUAGUACGAGAGGACCGGGAUGGACAUACCUCUGGUGUACCAGUUGUCGUGCCAACGGCAUAGCUGGGUAGCUAUGUGUGGACGGGAUAAGUGCUGAAAGCAUCUAAGCAUGAAGCCCCCCUCAAGAUGAGAUUUCCCAACUUCGGUUAUAAGAUCCCUCAAAGAUGAUGAGGUUAAUAGGUUCGAGGUGGAAGCAUGGUGACAUGUGGAGCUGACGAAUACUAAUCGAUCGAAGACUUAAUCAA
rnacentral:rRNA from 1 species